rnacentral:rRNA from 1 species
UACGUAGGGUGCAAGCGUUAAUCGGAAUUACUGGGCGUAAAGCGUGCGCAGGCGGUUCUAUAAGACAGAUGUGAAAUCCCCAGGCUUAACCUGGGAAGUGCGCGCGAAACUGACGAGCUUGAGUGCCGGAGAGGGUCACGGAAUUCCCGGUGUAGCGGUGAAAUGCGCAGAUAUCGGGAAGAACACCCGUGGCGAAGGCGGCUCUCUGGGACGGUACUGACGCUGAGACGCGAAAGCGUGGGGAGCAAACAGG